rnacentral:rRNA from 1 species
GUUGGCUCGGAGACAUUAACGAGUUAAUUGAACGGGUUGUUGCUGGUAUCAUUCUAUCAAAGGGUGUUACAUGUGCACGCCUGGCUCAUCCACUCUUCAACCUCUGUGCACUUAUUGUAGGCUGGUGGAAGGGUAAGCUUUCGGGCUUACUUGGAAGCCUUCCUAUGUUUUACUACAAACGCUUCAGUUUAAGAAUGUAAUCUCUGCGUAUAACGCAUCUAUAUACAACUUUCAGCAACGGAUCUCUUGGCUCUCGCAUCGAUGAAGAACGCAGCGAAAUGCGAUAAGUAAUGUGAAUUGCAGAAUUCAGUGAAUCAUCGAAUCUUUGAACGCACCUUGCGCUCCCUGGUAUUCCGGGGAGCAUGCCUGUUUGAGUGUCAUGGUAUCCUCAACCUUCAUAACUUUUGUUAUCGAAGGCUUGGACUUGGAGGCUUGUGCUGGCUCUUCAUUGAGUCGGCUCCUCUGAAAUAUAUUAGCGUGAGUGUAACGGAUCGCUUCGGUGUGAUAAUUAUCUGCGCCGUGGUCGUGAAGUAACAUAAGCUUGCGCUUCUAAUCGUCCUUCAGUUGGACAAUAACCUUUUGACAUCUGACCUCAAAUCAGGUAGGACUACCCGCUGAACUUAACAUAAAAAGGGGGGGGGG